AUUGAACGCUGGCGGCAGGCCUAACACAUGCAAGUCGAACGGUAACAGGAAGCAGCUUGCUGCUUCGCUGACGAGUGGCGGACGGGUGAGUAAUGUCUGGGAAACUGCCUGAUGGAGGGGGAUAACUACUGGAAACGGUAGCUAAUACCGCAUAACGUCGCAAGACCAAAGAGGGGGACCUUCGGGCCUCUUGCCAUCGGAUGUGCCCAGAUGGGAUUAGCUAGUAGGUGGGGUAACGGCUCACCUAGGCGACGAUCCCUAGCUGGUCUGAGAGGAUGACCAGCCACACUGGAACUGCGACACGGUCCAGACUCCUACGGGAGGCAGCAGUGGGGAAUAUUGCACAAUGGGCGCAAGCCUGAUGCAGCCAUGCCGCGUGUAUGAAGAAGGCCUUCGGGUUGUAAAGUACUUUCAGCGGGGAGGAAGGUGUUGAGGUUAAUAACCUCAGCAAUUGACGUUACCCGCAGAAGAAGCACCGGCUAACUCCGUGCCAGCCGCCGCCGUAAGAC
rnacentral:rRNA from 1 species